rnacentral:tRNA from 1 species
GGCGGCGUAGCUCAGCUGGUUAGAGCGCAGGACUCAUAAGCCUGAGGUCAGUGGUUCAAGUCCACUCGCCGCUACCA